CACUGGACAAGGUAGAAUGCCCCAGCUUGUUCACUGCUUUGUUUGUAAAACUAGAAGCAAAGUUUCCUUUCAGGGAGCACUGGCUUCUUCCGACCGCAGGCUGAUCAUCAGAGCUGGGUCCCUUCUGUGAUCUCUUCAGAACAGUUCCAAGCCUUAAAGGGACAGGGCACAGGAAAACAUAGUCCUGGCUUUCCAUCCAGUUCUUACACAAACAAGGAAGCCCCCAUUUUGCAGAUGAAGCCUCUUUAUGGUACUCAGGAUGUGUUGUUUCUGGUGACCUCCCCAGACUGAGUGAAACUUCUGAUUACACUUCGAUCAAACCAGACAAGUCUAUUAAAUGUUAGCAUUUUUUUAAAAAACAGAGAAGUGUGCUAUGCAUUGCGGGGAUGUCAGAACAGUAGAUGAGCUGAAUACAUAUGCUACAACUGGCUUCAGCAAAAUGGGAUAAAUUAGAGAUGUCAGUCACUGCUUGCAUAAGCAGAUGGGACUUCACUGAGGUCAACUGAGUUGUUUCUGCUUA